UCUAAUGGACCUCAUUAAGUUCUACUUACAGAUGUUCUCUUAACAUAAUUGAUCUGCGAUGAAAACUUUAAGGAACAAUGAAGGAGAGAGGUACUGCUCUGAAACGGAUUGCAACGCGGAGCUGCAGCGAGCUAUUUGCCAGAGAUUUGAAAGCUGCAGCAGAAAAAGCCCAAGGCC